GCCACUGCGAGGCGGUGGGUGGGCAGACAGGACGGGCGUCUGCCAGAGCUGGGCGCCUUCUGUGGUUGCCACCAGGCAUGGGAGGGGAGAGGAGGGAGAACAGGCCCGGCUGCCUCCUGGUCCCACCCACCACAUGCAGUCGAUGUCUUGUGGGUGACUUAUGUCCUGUAUGUGAGCAGGAACCCUCUGUCCCCUGUGAGCAGGUGCCCUCUGUCCCCUGUGAGCAGGUCCCCUCUGUACUGUGUGUGUGCAGUACCCUCUGUCCUGUGUGAGCAGGUCCCCUCUGUCCUGUGUGUGAGCAGGUCCCCUCUGUCCUGUGUGAGCAGGUCCCCUCUGUCCUGUCCUGUGUGUGAGCAGGUCCCCUCUGUCCUGUGUGUGAGCAGGUCCCCUGUGUCCUGUGUGUGAUCAGGUCCCCUCUGUCCCCUGUGAGCAGGUCCCCUCAGUCCUGUGUGUGUGCAGGUCCCCUCUGUCCUGUGUGUGAGCAGGUCCCCUCUGUCCUGUGCUGUGUGUGAGCAGGUCCCCUCUGUCCUGUCCUGUGUGAGCAGGUCCCCUCUGUCCUGUGUGUGAGGAGGUCCUCACUGUUUGUGUGUGGGCAGGUCCUCUUCAGUCCCCAACCUUACCCUAAGCACCGACGCUGUGACCUUGCGUUGCCCUGGGGUAGUGGAGCAUCCAGGCAAGGCUGUGGGAAGCUGACCAAAGUUGGUCUCUUUCCGUGUGCACAUCAAAGUCACUUCCUAUUCCUUGGUGCCCCCUUGGUUAGGGACUGCUCUGUGGACAAAGGUGUGGCUGUGGUGACAUCAGCAUGGAACUCUGGGAAUCACCCGGCUCCCCUGGCCCAGGGUGUGUGGCGCUCAGGAUGCUGACGUAGCUCCUGCUCUCGGCUGCCAUCCGUUCCCACGUGGCCUACGGGGGCUCAGGGCCCUCAGAGCUCCCUGCCUCCCCAACCCCAUCCGUCUGUCAGCUGCCCGAGGCCCCAGCCCACCCCCAUCUCUGAAUUUGUCCGUGUGUCCCGGCAUCCAUGCACAGGCACUGCCAGGUUAGGGAGGAAGGACCUGCUCACCUGCUGUGCCCUGGCAGGUGGGAGCGGGUGCUGCGGAGAGAUCCCCGGGGUGACUUCAGGCCUGUGAGAUGGCCACAGCUUCACAGAAUGGACUCGCCUCCCAGUGGUCGCAGCACCUGGCGUUUCACACGUCCAUCUGUUUGCGUUCGAGUGAACAGUAGUCCGAGCACCGGGCUGUGGUUGUCGCGGGCCUCAGCACAGCUUCCCUCAGCCACAGCCGCCCCCGUGUCGGCUGAGAAGGGAGCCAGCCUGGCUCCCAUGCUUGUCACAGGGGCCCCGGAGCUCUGCAGGCCCAGGGCUGGGCCACUUAGAGCAGCAAGCCCGAGUUUCUCUCCAGUAGCGCCUCAGAGGCUGCCCUCCCAGACCAGGCAUUAGCCGUCUGGACGUUCUUAUCUGAAUUUCAGAGCCCAUUUCCUAAGGAACAGCCUCUCUGAGGUGAGCUGCCCAGAACCGGGUGACCUCGAGUCGCAGACGGGACCUGGGGCCCUCACAACUCUGUCCAGUCCCAUGGGAGGAGCGGGGCCAGGUGCAGAACCACAGAUGCGGCUUCCACAGUCAGGGCCGGGCCAGACGGCGCCGGAGCAACUGCAGAACGCACCGCUGGCCGUCACUCAGAUUUCCCUGCCUUGGUUUUGCUUCCUUAAUUUUAUUUCUUUGAGAGGCGGAGAGAGUGAAAUAGAGAGAGGGAUCUCCCAUGUGCUGGUUCCUUCUCCAGAUUCCUGCCAUGGCCAGGACUGGGCCAGGCCUCUCCCCCAGCACCAAACGCCUGGCUCCCAGGUGCCCCCACCCCCAGCCAAGACUGCGUAGCCCACAGCUGCGGCUCUGUCUGAAGCCCUUUCCUG